AGUGAACGCUGGCGGUAGGCCUAACACAUGCAAGUCGAACGGCAGCACAGUAAGAGCUUGCUCUUACGGGUGGCGAGUGGCGGACGGGUGAGGAAUACAUCGGAAUCUACUUUUUCGUGGGGGAUAACGUAGGGAAACUUACGCUAAUACCGCAUACGACCUACGGGUGAAAGCAGGGGAUCUUCGGACCUUGCGCGAUUGAAUGAGCCGAUGUCGGAUUAGCUAGUUGGCGGGGUAAAGGCCCACCAAGGCGACGAUCCGUAGCUGGUCUGAGAGGAUGGUCAGCCACACUGGAACUGAGACACGGUCCAGACUCCUACGGGAGGACGCAGUGGGGAAUAUUGGGCAAUGGGCGCAAGCCUGAUCCAGCCAUACCGCGUGGGUGAAGAAGGCCUUCGGGUUGUAAAGCCCUUUUGUUGGGAAAGAACAGCAGCAGGUUAAUACCCCGCUGUUCUGACGGUACCCAAAGAAUAAGCACCGGCUAACUUCGUG
rnacentral:rRNA from 1 species